rnacentral:lncRNA from 1 species
CGGCCGCGGUCUUCAGCAGGCACCCGGGGCGGAGUCUCCCUGACACCUGGCCUUGGAGGGACGCGGCUAGUGCCUGCUCCAGGCCUCUCGGCCGCGCAGUCAGCCUUAGUGUGCGGAAUCAGGUUCGAGCUUCGCCUUGUCCUCUUCUGCAUGCGUUACUGAACAGGACCAGUUGCCACGAGACUGAAGGCUGUAACUCUGGCCCCGGAAGUCUUCCCUGCUCUCUGGACAGCAAGUGUGUGCAGAAUGCCCCACAAGAUUGGAUUUGUAGUGGUCAGCUCCUCUGGACAUGAAGAUGGCUUCAGCGCCCGGGAACUAAUGAUCCACGCACCAACUGUCAGUGGGUGGAGGUCACCAAAAUUCUGCCAGUUUCCACAAGAGAUCGUUCUGCAGAUGGUGGAGCGGUGCAGAAUAAGGAAGCUGCAGCUGCUGGCUCACCAGUACAUGAUCUCCAGCAAAGUCGAGUUCUACAUCACUUCCUGUCACUCGCAAGCAGUUGGAGGAACCAUCUGCAGAGCCAGAAGUGAGAGAGGCAGACAGUGAUGUCCGGAGACGGGGUGUCUCAGCGGAGCCAGAGCCCUUGACAGAGAAGGCUUUGAGAGAAGCCAGCUCUGCCAUCGACACCUUAGGCGAAGCCUUGGUGGCUGGGGCCUAUUCUAAGAUGUGGUCCUGCCGAGAAGAUGCACUGCUGGCAUUGUACAAGAGGCUGAUGGAGAUGCCUGUUGGAACCCAGAAGGAAGAUUUGAAAAACAUGCUCAGAGCAUCUGUCUUUCUCAUCAGAAGAGCCAUAAAGGACAUUGUAACCUCAGUCUUUCAGGCUUCACUGAAACUGCUGAAGAUGAUAAUUACACAGUAUAUUCCCAAGCACAAGCUGGGCAAACUUGACACAACGUACUGUGUGGAGAGAGCUAUC